rnacentral:rRNA from 1 species
CCUACGGGGGGCAGCAGUGGGGGAUAUUGGACAAUGGGGGAAACCCUGAUCCAGCGACGCCGCGUGAGUGAAGAAGUAUUUCGGUAUGUAAAGCUCUAUCAGCAGGGAAGAAAGAAAUGACGGUACCUGAGUAAGAAGCCCCGGCUAACUACGUGCCAGCAGCCGCGGUAAUACGUAGGGGGCAAGCGUUAUCCGGAAUUACUGGGUGUAAAGGGAGCGUAGACGGUGAUGCAAGUCAGAAGUGAAAGCCCGGGGCUCAACUCCGGGACUGCUUGUGAAACUGUGUGACUGGAGUGCAGGAGAGGGAAGCGGAAUUCCUGGUGUAGCGGUGAAAUGCGUAGAGAUCAGGAGGAACACCAGUGGCGAAGGCGGCUUACUGGACUGUAACUGACGUUGAGGCGCGAAAGCGUGGGGAGCAAACAGGAUUAGAUACCCUUGUAGUC